GAUGAACGCUAGCGGCAGGCUUAAUACAUGCAAGUCGAGGGGCAACAGGGGUAGCAAUACCUGCUGGCGACCGGCAAACGGGUGCGCAACACGUACAGAACCUUCCUUUAAGCGGGGGAUAGCCCAUAGAAAUGUGGAUUAAUACCCCAUGGUAUUGAUGUGUGGCAUCACAUAUUAAUUAAAGAUUUAUCACUUAAAGAUGGCUGUGCGUCUGAUUAGGUAGUUGGGUAGGUAACGGCUCACCAAG
rnacentral:rRNA from 1 species